GGAGGAAUAUUGGUCAAUGGGGCGCAGGCCUGAACCAGCCAAGUCGCGUGAGGGAUGACGGUCCUACGGAUUGUAAACCUCUUUUGUCGGGGAGUAACGUGCGGGACGCGUCCCGUAUUGAGAGUACCCGAAGAAAAAGCAUCGGCUAACUCCGUGCCAGCAGCCGCGGUAAUACGGAGGAUGCGAGCGUUAUCCGGAUUUAUUGGGUUUAAAGGGAGCGUAGGCCGUCUUAUAAGCGUGUUGUGAAAUGUCGGGGCUCAACCUGGGCAUUGCAGCGCGAACUGUGAGACUUGGGUGCGCAGGAAGUAGGCGGAAUUCGUCGUGUAGCGGUGAAAUGCUUAGAUAUGACGAAGAACUCCGAUUGCGAAGGCAGCCUGCUGUAGCGCAACUGACGCUGAAGCUCGAAAGCGUGGGU
rnacentral:rRNA from 1 species